UCAGUGUUCAGAAAAAAAACUGCAGAACCACCCCCUCCCUUUCAGUCCAUGGUUCGGCGCCGGUCAUAGGGUUUCGGCCAGUGGCCGCCGUUGCCGCUCCGCGAGUGGUGGUCGGAACCACCAAAACCAUGGGUUUUAAACCCGCUUCUGAGUUCAUUCGAAGGCCCGGCCCCCGUGUCCCAAAAGACCGAAGGAGAAGGAUCUUCUCUGCUUCCUCUCGGUCUGACUCCGGCGACGGUCGGGAAACCUUCGGCGAUGGACUCACGGAGUAAGCAGGUGAUUGACGCGGUGGCAGAGUCAGAGGGCAGGUGAGCGAUGGCAAGUGGGAGACGUGACGUGCGGCGCGGCGGUGGCAGGAGGUCAGGGGUCAGAAGACCCUAGGUGCGAUUAGGGUUUUUUGUUGAAAUGUUUUAAGUUUUUGGGCUUGUUGGGCUAGGUUUUAAUUUGGGUCUUUUUGGGUUUGAUUUGGGCCAUGUUUGGUUUGUUUAUUUUGUAAAUGGGCCCGGGCAAAAUUGGGCUUCUACAGUUAGUUCACACAUGAAGCCAGCCAACCACUUUUUCCUAAUAUAAAGGUCGAGUUGUCCUUUUCCCUGUA